GAUGAACGCUGGCGGCGUGCCUAAUACAUGCAAGUCGAGCGAACGGACGAGAAGCUUGCUUUUCUGAUGUUAGCGGCGGACGGGUGAGUAACACGUGGAUAACCUACCUAUAAGACUGGGAUAACUUCGGGAAACCGGAGCUAAUACCGGAUAAUAUUUUGAACCGCAUGGUUCAAAAGUGAAAGACGGUCUUGCUGUCACUUAUAGAUGGAUCCGCGCUGCAUUAGCUAGUUGGUAAGGUAACGGCUUACCAAGGCAACGAUGCAUAGCCGACCUGAGAGGGUGAUCGGCCACACUGGAACUGAGACACGGUCCAGACUCCUACGGGAGGCAGCAGUAGGGAAUCUUCCGCAAUGGGCGAAAGCCUGACGGAGCAACGCCGCGUGAGUGAUGAAGGUCUUCGGAUCGUAAAACUCUGUUAUUAGGGAAGAACAUAUGUGCAAGUAACUGUGCACAUCUUGACGGUACCUAAUGAGAAAGCCACGGCUAACUACGUG
rnacentral:rRNA from 1 species